GAAAAUUGUUUGUGAAGUGUUGCAAAAUCAAUAAACAUAAAGAUAUCACUUUGAAAGUGAAGAUUGCUAUACUGAAUAUGGCCUCCGAACGGUAUAGUUAUAAAAAAUUACCCGAUGAAAUUGUGAUCACUGGUAUGUCCGGGCGUUUGCCAGAAAGUUCGACUAUCGAAGAAUUCAGGGACAAUUUAUUCAAUGGCGUUGAUAUGGUUAAUGACGAACCAAGACGUUGGCCAGCUGGCUUAUACGAUUUACCAGAUCGAAUGGGCAAAAUAAAGGACGAAGAUUUGGAAAAUUUCGAUCACCAAUUUUUUGGUGUACAUCAAAAACAGGCUGAAUGUAUGGAUCCACAAUUAAGAAUAUUGCUAGAAGCAACACACGAAGCAAUCAUUGAUGCCGGUUACAAUCCGCAUGAAUUGCGUGGCAGCCGUACUGGUGUAUAUAUUGGUGUAUCACAUUCGGAAACUGAAAACUAUUGGCUUGCCGAUCCAGAUCGUGUCAAUGGUUAUGGUUUAACUGGUUGUGCUCGAGCUAUGUUUGCCAAUCGUCUAUCAUUCACGUUUGAUUUCAAAGGACCAAGUUAUGCAUGCGAUACAGCUUGCUCGAGUUCAUUGUAUGCAUUGUCACAGGCAUUCUCCGAUUUGAAAGCAGGCAAUUGUAGUUCAGCCAUUGUUGCUGGAUCUGGCAUUACGUUAAAUCCAACCAUGUCAUUGCAAUUGAUGCGACUAAAUGUGUUAAGCACUGAAGGGAAAUGUAAAGCAUUUGAUGAAAAUGGUGCUGGCUACGUUCGUUCAGAGGGGUGUGUUGUCAUUUUCGUACAAUUGGAAAGCCAAGCUCGUCGCAUCUAUUCAACUAUUUUAAAUGUUCGCACAAACACCGAUGGUUUCAAAGAGCAAGGUAUUACAUUCCCCGACGGGAGCACGCAAAAACAAUUGAUCCGUGAAACUUACAAUGAAAUUGCGCUAAAUCCACACGAUGUUGACUAUGUUGAAGCUCACGGUACUGGUACCAAGGUCGGUGAUCCACAAGAGGUAAACGCAAUUACAGACUUCUUCUGUAAAAAUCGUAAAACACCGUUGUUGAUUGGAUCCGUUAAGUCUAAUAUGGGUCACUCAGAAGCAGUUUCUGGUGUUUGUUCGAUAGUAAAAGUAAUUUUGGCUAUGGAAGCCAAAGUUAUUCCAGGUAACUUGCACUACAAAUCACCAAAUCCAGAUUUGUACGGUAUUCUCGAUGGGCGUGUGAAAGUUGUUGAUCGAAAUACGGCAUGGAGUGGUGGCAUUGUUGGUUUAAAUUCAUUCGGUUUUGGUGGUGCCAAUGCUCAUGUCAUCUUGAAAUCCAAUAAAAAGCGAAAAUUCAUUACAUCCAUGGACAUGGACAUAGUUCCACGUUUAAUCGUGGUUUCAGGUCGUACUACUGAAGCAGUUGAUUUGCUUUUAGAUGAAAUUGAAAAAAAUAAAUUCGACAUAGAGUUUAUAAACCUAAUAAAUGAAAUCCAUUCAAAAAAUAUUCCGUUGCAUUUGUGCCGUGGUUAUACCAUAGUUGGUGACAUUCCAACUGUACGUGGAGUAAGUGAAUUAAUCAAUGACAACCACGAAAUUUGGUACAUUUAUACGGGUACGGGAUCGCAAUGGGCAAGUAUGGCUAAGGAUGUAAUGCAUUUGGAUGUAUUCCGCAACAGCAUUUUGCAAUGUGCCGACAUUUUACGCCGUGAAGGCAUUGAUUUGAUGAAAAUUCUUUGCAAAAGUGACGAAUCAACAUUCGAUCAUAUUGUGAAUACGUUUGUCUCAAUUACUGCCGUUCAAAUUGCUCUUACGGAUGUUUUGAGUCAUUUGGGUAUCUCACCAAACGGAAUAAUCGGACAUUCGAUUGGUGAAUUGGCCUGUGCAUAUGCCGAUGGCUGCUUUACACUAGAGCAAACCAUUUUGGCAGCCUACUGGAGAGGUCGCAGCUUGGAAACGGUCAUGGAAAAAGGUCGGAUGGCUUCAAUUGGACUAACUUGGGAGGAAACUAAGGCUCGUGCUCCAGCUGAUAUCGUUGCAGCUUGUCACAAUGGUCACGAAAGUGUCACCAUCGCAGGUCCUCCAGAAUUGAUCACCAGAUUUAUUGAUGAUCUUAUCAAAGAGGGUGUGUUUGCAAAGGUCGUAAAUACAUCGGGGUAUGCUUUCCACAGUAAAUACAUUGCUAGUGCUGGACCCAUAUAUAAAAAAUCAUUAGAAAAAAUUAUUCCACAACCGAAAAACCGCACAUCACGCUGGCUGAGCACAAGCAUUCAUGAGGAAGAUUGGCCAUCGACACUUGCACAACAGAGUUCGCCCGCUUAUCACGAAAACAAUAUGCUAUCGCCAGUUUUCUUCCACGAUGCCAUUCAACAUAUUCCAAAGAAUGCCAUCUGCAUCGAAAUUUCUCCAACCGGUUUAUUACAGGCUAUUUUAAAGCGUACGCUUGGUAGUGAAAACAUCCCGUUGAGCUUGAUUAAACGUGGACACAAAAACAAUCUGGUUUUCUUCAUGCAAAAUAUUGGAAAAUUGUAUGCCGCUGGAGUACAACCGCAAAUAUCCAAGUUGUAUGCCCCAAUUUCAUAUCCAGUUGGUUGUGGCACACCUAUGUUGAAUUCGAAAAUAAGAUGGGACCACUCACAGCGUUUUUUUGUACCUAAAUUCGAGAUAAAUUCAAUCUCCGGUCACAGCAUCAUUGAGAUUAAUCUGAAAAAAGAUGAAGAUGCAUAUUUUAGUGGCCACAUGAUUGACGGUCGUCUUCUAUUCCCAGCUACUGGUUAUAUACAUUUGGUAUGGCGCAUAUUUGCAAAGACAAAGAACAGCACAUUCGAUAAAACAUCGGUUGUUCUAGAAGACAUUGUCUUUCAUCGUAACAUCACUUUACCGAAAGAGGGUUCUGUCAAGUUCAACUUUAGUUUCUUGGAUAGCAGUGGCUGUUUUGAAAUAUGUGAAGGUGGCUCGAUUGUAGUUUCUGGCAAAAUUUAUACCCCGGGAGAUAUUGAAUUCGAGCAAUCCGAACCAAACUUGAAUAGAAAACUUGAAGGAGACGAAUUGUGCUUGCCAUUGAAAAUCGACGAUGUUUAUAAGGAAUUACGUCUCCGUGGUUACGAUUAUAAUGGUAAAUUCCGUAGUAUCAGCCAACUAAACAUGGAAUCCCUUUCAGGCAAACUGAAAUGGCAAGAUAAUUGGGUUAGCUUCAGCGAUACCAUGGUACAAAUCAAUAUUUUAGGGAAAGAUUCACGUGACUUGUACUUGCCAACUCGAAUUGAUCGGGUUGUUUUCAAUCCAAAUAAACACUUUGAAAUUAUUACAAAUCUGAAAGAAAACAACGCUGAACUUCCUGUUUACAUGUAUGAUGGCAUCAUUAGAUCAGGCGGAGUUGAAUUGCGCGGGAUAAAACUUUCAUUGGCACCACGUUCAGACAUUCAACCAUCGCCGAUUUUGGAACAUUAUGAAUUUGUUUCAUUAACAAAUAUGAAUCAAGAAUUAUCACAGUCUACAGAAUGUGCACGUUUCCAUGCCAUUUCAGUUGCAACACAUCUGGUCAUUGAAAACAGUAAUGGUAUAUUAAAAUUUAAAAUUGUUGAUGUUGCCGAUAAUAGAAGAAUCGAAAAUGCAAUUGUUUUGACCAUUCAAAGAGUAAUCGAUAGCGAACCACUUGUUGUAAGCGAUUUAAUCAUUGUACAGAUGCGAUCAACCGAAUCCGAUAUACAAAUUGCUGCUGAAAGAAGUAUUUCGAUUAAAACCAAAGAUCUGGGCACGGGUCCAGCUGAAUUGAAUAGCCACUUGAUUAUUGCAUAUGAUGUUGUUUUCCGCAUGAACGUCAAUGAAAUUUUUAAACAUCUUAAAGCCUCAAUCCGUGAAGAUGGUUUCAUUUUGCUCGAAGAAAAUAUUGACGCCUAUAAUAAAAUUGAAGCCGAUAAUUUAUUUGCCAUCUUCAAUUUGACAGUUAUCUCUAUUCAAUGUGCUUCAAACAAAUACUUGAUCUUAUUACGUCAAAUGAUCGAUAUUACUGCGAGAAACAAAACGAUAAUUUCGAUUACAGAAAAAAACUACGCAUAUCUUGAACGAUUGAAAUCAGCAUUGGCCACCGCUGAAAGAGAUAACACAUAUGUUUACGUUAUAGGGCAAGGUGAAGAGCUGUUGGGCGCUGUUGGUUUUAUGAAUUGUUUAAAACGUGAAAAUGGAGGGAAAUUUGUACGCUUAAUAUUUGUUCCAGAUGCAAACGAUGGACAAUUUUCAUUUGCCAGCAAAAUGUAUGCCGAUCAAAUGAGCAAGGAUUUGGUCAUCAAUGUGUAUAAGAAUGGGUGUUGGGGAACAUACAGACAUUUGAAAUUGAAUUCACAAAUAGGUCUAGAAAACAUACAGGUUGAACAUGCAUAUGUUAAUACAUUAAACAAAGGUGAUUUGUCAAGCUUGUCAUGGAUUGAAAGCCCGUUUACACAUCAAACACCCGAUCCAAUAGAUACACGGAUUGAACUGUGCACAGUUUACUAUGCGCCAGUUAGUUUACGCGAUGUUAUGCUAAGCUCGGGAAAAAUGACUAUGGAUAAUUUGAAUAUGCACAAUAAUGAAGAUUGUGGCUUGGGGUUGGAGUUUUCUGGUCGCGAUUCAAGCGGAAAACGUGUCAUGGCAAUAGUGAAAGGUAAAUCAUUAGCUACAACUUGCAUUGCUCAACGCAAUAUGAUUUGGGAAAUUCCUUAUGAUUGGACUAUGGAGCAAGCUUCAACCAUUCCAUGUAUUUAUUCUUCCGUCUACUAUGCUUUGGUCGUCCGAGGUAAAAUGAUGAAAGGAGAAUCAAUUUUAAUUCGUGCUGGAAGUAAUCUUGGUCUAGCCGCCAUCAAUGUGGCCUUGCAUCAUGGCUUAAUAGUGUAUACCACUGUUGAUAGCGAAGAAGAACGUGAAUUUUUGAAAAAAACUUUCCCACAAUUGACUGACACCAACAUCAACAGAUUACGAAACAUAUCAGUCGAGCAAUUUAUCAUGCGUUCUUCUAAAGGGAAAGGCGUUAAUUUGGUGUUGAAUUCAUGUGCUGAUGAAAUCAAAGCUUCAAUAAGUUGCUUAUGUUCGAACGGCAGAUUCCUGGGAAUCGACACACCCAAUAUGCGCAAAGCUUCAAGUUCAUUUUUAGAAUCGAUUAUUAAGAAAAAUAUUUCAUUCCACGGCAUUUCAUUGAAAAAUAUUAUGAAUGAGGAUGAUAAAACUAUCGAAAGAGUUGUUUGUUUGGUUGCUGAUGGUAUUAAAAACGGAGCGGUUCAUCCGUUGCCAACUAUCGUUUUUAGUGACAAGCAACUUGAACAUGCCUUCCGUCUCAUGGAUGACACCAAACUAAUCGGCAAAACUAUUAUCAAAAUACGCGAGGAAGAAACACAAAAGUCGUUAAAUCCAGUCCCAAAAUUGAUUUCUGCCAUUCCGAAGACAUACAUGCACAAUGAGAAAUCGUACAUCAUUGCAGGUGGUUUGGGUGGUUUUGGUUUAGAAUUGGCAAAUUGGAUGAUUGAACGCGGUGCCACAAAACUGAUUUUAACAUCUCGAAAUGGUGUUAAAACUAAUUAUCAAGCAUGGAUGAUGCGUCGCUGGAACGAUCGUGGUGUUAAAGUCAUAAUUGAUACUAAUGACAUUACAAUGUUGGAUGGUGUCAAAAAUUUGUUGAUAGCAGCAAAUCGCCUGGGACCAAUUGGCGGAAUUUUUAAUCUUGCUGCAAUUUUACACGAUGAUUUAUUUGAAAAUCAGACGGAAGCCAAUUUUAAAGCGGUUUGUGAACCAAAAAUUGAUGCCACCAAACAUUUCGAUACGAUUUCACGUGAAUUGUGUCCGGCAUUGGAUUACUUUGUGUGUUUUUCAAGUGUAACGAGUGGUCGUGGCAUUAUUGGUCAAACUAAUUAUGGUUUGGCUAAUUCAGCUAUGGAACGUAUCUGUGAAAAUCGUAAAGCAUCUGGUUUUCCAGGUACAGCAAUCCAAUGGGGCGCAAUUGGCGAUACUGGUCUGGUUAUUGACAAUUUGGGCGAUAACAAUACUGUUAUUAAUGGUACAUUGCCACAGCGUAUGGUAUCAUGCUUAAAAACAAUCGAUCACUUCAUGCAGCAACCACACGCUGUCCUCGUAUCUAUGGUCAUGGCCGAAAAAUACACAGCUAAAAGAAGCGAUAAUGAUUUAGUGAGUUGCAUCGCCAAUAUUUUGGGACUAAAAGACCUGAACAAUGUUUCAAACCAAACCUCAUUGGCUGAUUUGAAUUUGGAUUCUUUGAUGAGUGUUGAAAUUAAACAAACACUGGAACGUAAUUACGAUAUUAGAAUGGGUGUACCGGAUAUUCGCCAAUUAACCGUCGAAAAAAUUAGGAAGUUGGUGUUAGCACUUGCUGGAGACGAACAUUAAAAUCAACUAAAAAAUCCACAAUGUGCGCAGUAUAUAGUGAAACGCGUAAGUGGCGGAAGGCCUUGAAUGAAACUAUUGGUAGAUUCUUCGAAAAUGAAAUGGAUAAAAUGAAAUUUGAUAGUGAUGGCUUCAGAAGUUAUUUUGUACGCUAUUCUGUUCGUCGUAUUAAGCAAUCUAUCGACCGUUGCAUCAAUGAACCUUUUAUGCGAAAAGAGAGACCGUUUAAGACCAAACCGAGUAAUUUCUAUAAUUCGAUGUUCUCUCUUCUUGAUAACAUUGAACAAAUAACCAGAUUUUGUUUAAGAACUUCAUUGUAUAACAUCGACGAUGAUGUCAAAAGUUAUCUGCAUAAGGAGGCAAAAAAUUGCAUUAAAGAGGCAUUCGAUGUUUUUGUUAAACGGCCAAAGUUGAAAAUACCUAUCAAGACUGAAGGAGAUGAUUCGAAGAACCAAAUUGAAUUGAAAGCAACAAUCAAAAUGAAUAAAUUUGAUCCGAAUAGCCACGAUGGAACUAAAUCUACAAAAUCAAAUUUGAAAAUUGAACGAGGAAAUAUCACCAAACUAAACGAUACUACCCAUUUGAAAUCAAAGUCUACUCAAACCGGUUCAACGGAUGAAAAUAAGAUCCUGAUACUAUCUGAUGUGAUUAUAAAUCAAAAAUGCUCAAAAAUUGGUCGAACAGAAGAAAGUGGUGUAAUAUUUCACUGUGCGUAUUGCAAAGACCAAAAUUUAUUAAGCACUUUUAAACGUGAACGCGAUGUAUAUUCUCAUUGGCUUCUACACCAUUUUAACAGUCAUUUGAAGCCAUAUCGGUUUUAUGCUUUUGAUACGAAUUCAUCAAAGAUAUCUCUGGAUAAUCUAAGCAAGCUCAUCAAGGAAAAAAAUUCAAACGAUUUACACAUUGGAAUCGAUUAUUAUAUUUGCAACUGUAAACAAAUGGUUGCUGAUAAAGAUUUAAUUAUUCACAAGCAGGCGCACGGAAUUGUCUGUUGCAAUCAUGAAGCGAAAACAGCAUUUGACUUUAUUCUUCAUUUGAGAGAAGUUCACGGAUUUUCCAAUUACCAAAGCGCUAUUCGGAGAAUUCAACAAUUCUUCGAAGCAUCGUUUUAUCAAAUGAAAACUGUGUUCAAAAAUGGAUUCACAAUAAGCAACAAUAUUUCCAAUCAGUUGUCGUAUUGUUCUCACAUCGAUAACUUUAAGAAUGCGCUGAACGAGUGGUGUUCUCUGUUGAAAAUACAAAUUGAAGAAGAAAUCAAAAUCAAAUAUGUUGUUGGAAUCAACAUCGCGUAUUUUACACAUGAAAAUUUAUCAACGAUUUAUCAUCGCCUCUGCAAUAUGAUUGGCAUCCAAACCUAUGAUGUUGAUGUAUUCAAGAUGAAAAGAAGCGAAUCAAAACGAUCGAUUCUUAUCGAAUGUCGAUAUGCACAUUUUAAACAACGCAUCAGAGAAUAUGCUGCUGGGAAAUCGAUUAAAACAAUAGAUUUGAUUGAUACUCCUUGGAGGUAUAGUAAC